rnacentral:rRNA from 1 species
GACGAACGCUGGCGGCGUGCUUAACACAUGCAAGUCGAGCGAUGAAGUUUCUUCGGAAAUGGAUUAGCGGCGAACGGGUGAGGAACACGUGAAGAAUCUGCCCUCCACUUUGGGAUAACACCGGGAAACCGGUGCUAAUACUGAAUAUUGAAACAUAAGUGGCAUCACUGAGUUUUGAAAGAAUUUCGGUGGAGGAUGACUUCGCGGCCUAUCAGCUAGUUGGUGAGGUAAUGGCUCACCAAGGCAACGACGGGUAGCCGGCCUGAGAGGGCGACCGGCCACACUGGGACUGAGACACGGCCCAGACUCCUACGGGAGGCAGCAGUGGGGAAUAUUGGACAAUGGGCGCAAGCCUGAUCCAGCCAUGCCGCGUGCAGGAUGACGGUCCUAUGGAUUGUAAACUGCUUUUAUACAGGAAGAAACACCUCUACGUGUAGAGACUUGACGGUACUGUAAGAAUAAGGAUCGGCUAACUCCGUGCCAGCAGCCGCGGUAAUACAUAGGGUGCAAGCGUUGUCCGGAAUUAUUGGGCGUAAAGAGCUCGUAGGUCGUUUGUUACGUCGGAUGUGAAAACCUGAGGCUCAACCUCAGGCCUGCAUUCGAUACGGGCAAACUAGAGUUUGGUAGGGGAGACUGGAAUUCCUGGUGUAGCGGUGGAAUGCGCAGAUAUCAGGAGGAACACCAAUGGCGAAGGCAGGUCUCUGGGCCAAUACUGACACUGAGGAGCGAAAGUCUGGGGAGCGAACAGGAUUAGAUACCCUGGUAGUCCAGACCGUAAACGGUGGGCACUAGUUGUGGGAACCUUCCACGGUUUCUGCGACGCAGCUAACGCAUUAAGUGCCCCGCCUGGGGAGUACGAUCGCAAGAUUAAAACUCAAAGGAAUUGACGGGGCCCCGCACAAGCAGCGGAGCAUGCGGCUUAAUUCGACGCAACGCGAAGAACCUUACCAAGGCUUGACAUAUAGGGAAAAGUGGCAGAGAUGUCA